GGGCAGAAGUAAUUGGCAAUUUCAGUCUUGUUUUUAACAGCAGGGGUUGCUGCAGGCAAGAGAACAAUGCAGUAUUGAUACCAGGACACGCAGAGGAAACUAUGAAUUCACAGGAAUGCCAUUUCACUGAAGUAAAGCUCAACAAUGGACACAUGAAGACACAGCUUUUACAGUUGCAGUAAAGAAAAUCAUGUUUUGAAAUAAAGGAGAGUUUAUCUCAUCAGAAUACCAGAACCAUCCAAAGCUGUAUGAAACAUGUACCCUUACUACUGGGAACUUCCAACAGAUAUGACCAGCACCCUCAGCCAAGUACAUUCAAGCCAGGGAUUAUUAAACACCAAAAGACUUUCCAGCCGGUGGCUUGUACCUUUCAUACUUACUCAACUGUCCAGAACUAUCUCCAAAGAAUCAUUGCUGCAGGAAAGGAAAUGAUUAAAAUUCCUCAGAGGCAAGUUUAUCCCAGGAUUGACUACACACAUUGUCUUUGGUUUGAGAUCUGAGUACAAAUGACUUGGGGUUAUAUCCAAGCAAGCAAAUAAAAACAGCACAGGGGGUCAUGAGAAUAGAUUUCUGAGGAGAUUCCUGGUACCUCCAGCUUCUUGAUGGGCCAGAGAUACCAUGAAAGCAGCCUCUUUGAAGACACCUGCAA